rnacentral:rRNA from 1 species
AGAGUUUGAUCCUGGCUCAGGACGAACGCUGGCGGCGUGGAUUAGGCAUGCAAGUCGAACGCGAAAGUUUCCCUUCGGGGAAGCGAGUAGAGUGGCGGACGGGUGAGUAACGCGUAGGUGAUUUACCUCUAAGUGGGGGACAGCCCCGGGAAACCGGGAUUAAUACCGCAUGUGUCCGGCAUUAGCCGGAUAAAGAUGGCCUCUGCUUGCAAGCUAUCGCUUAGAGAUAAGCCUGCGUCCUAUUAGCUAGUUGGUUGGGUAAUGGCUGACCAAGGCGAUGAUAGGUAGGCGGCUUUAACGAGUGGUCGCCCACACUGGGAUUGAGAUACGGCCCAGACUCCUACGGGAGGCAGCAGUCGAGAAUAGUCUACAAUGGGGGAAACCCUGAUAGUGCGACGCCGCGUGGAUGAAGAAGCAUUUCGGUGUGUAAAGUCCUUUUCUUAGUGAGCAAUGCCUUUUAGGUUAAUAGCCUGAGAGGAGAGAUACUAGCUGAGGAAUAAGCUCCGCUAACU